rnacentral:misc_RNA from 1 species
CUCACAUGUGCACGCCAUCGCCACGAAGACGAGGUGGUCCUGGGAACAAGAAGAAAGCCUCGCUGGGAGUGCCGCUCUUCGUGCAGGCGGCGUGGGCCUUUUAUGAAGCACACAAACACGAGAGGUUCAGGCAGAACAAAAAAGCGUACCACUCUGGCGCUGCAUGUCCCACUACCUCGACGCCCGCCGCGAUGAUGAGCGCUUCACCGCGCGGCUGGAGGAGGUGAACAAGGAGGUGGACGGGCUCCUACUCAAGACGUCGCGCACGCGGCACGAGCUUGACCGCUCGGCUGCGGAGGUCCACAUGGGAGUUCCGUUGCACUUUCAUCCGCGCGAUGCCGCUGGCCGCGUUCACCUCGCCCCGUCGAAUCCCGCCGGUAGCCUGCCCGGGCCGCUACCGGCGCGAGAUGAUCUCGCUCGAAGCUUAGUGCUCGCUGAGCUCUCCCAGUGGUCGCGCUCGCAUCUUCCGAGCCUUGUUUCCCGGCUCGUCGAGGACCAGGUGCAGCAGCAGCUGCUGAGCCUGCGGGACAGUGUAGAAGAAGUCCGUGCACGCCAAGCCAAAGUGGAGAAGGCAGCGAGGGACGCGGCCGAGCAGGUGCGUGCGCACCGAGCGGACAUGCGUGCUGCCUUUUCGGCUGCGCACGAAGAGACGCAGCGCGACAUGGAGGAGCAUCAGCGAGCUGUGAAGCGCCAACUCGCGGCGUGGGGUGAGGAGUUGAGGCGUGUGCGAGAGGACGUGCUCGCAUGGAAGCAGCAAAGCGCCAACACCUGCGAUCGGCAGGAACAACAGAUCAGCGAGGCUCUUCAUCGGCAGCAGGCUCACGUGCAGGAGGUGUUUGAGACGCUGGAGCGCGAACUGCAGCGUUGGCGGCAGACGACGAGCCGAGCGGUGCACAAGGAGGCAGAGGAACUGCGUGUGCAGCACCACGCACUCGGACAUCGUGUGGCACAGAUUCAGGGGAUGAUGACGAGUACGACAGACAUGGUGGCCCACUGCACGGCAGAGAUGCAGCGCUUAAUGGAGCAUGCGGUAAGCCGCAGCAGCGAAGUCCGCGUCUGUCGGCGUGAUGUGAAUCGACUGGAGAUGCUCGUGCGAUGCUCUUCGCUCCAGACAGCGUUGCCCACAGCGGGUACAGGCAGCAGCGGCACCAACGACAACAGCACAGCGUCACCUGCCGCCUCUGUAGUGUUGAAUAGGCUCACCCAAGAGAUGGUUCGAUUCUCGGACUCGCUGCACGCGAUUGUGGACCGCAUCGAUGGCCUGGACCGUGACGUCCGGCAGCUCGAGAUGGCGGUGGCGCGCGGCGCUACGGCUAGCUGUGGACAAAGCACCUGCCACGGCAGCAUGCGAGUCAUGGAUGAGGAGAGCUUGUACGGUCGAAAUUUUCCCUCUACGCGUCGUCCCAGCUACAGCUACCUUUCUAGCGCCACGGGGCUGCGCGGGCAUCUCGCCUCCGGCGGCUUCGCCAGCACGCCGUCGCCGUUGGGAUGCCAUGAGAGUGUCAACGUGAAUCCCAUUCACAGCGGCGCCGCCGCAAACAAGACCAGCGCCACGUGUGUUGCUCUGGCCUCCUCAACGCAGCCGGUUGCUGCGGGAGGGACCCCGGGAAGGAGAAAUUCCGGUGUCGCUGGCCUCGGUGUGCAGCCGUCCAUCACACCUCUCACGUCUGCUUCACCGCCGUCCGCGACGCAUCACCCACCGAAGUCUCACCUCAGCAGCAGCAGCAGCUCGCGCUUCGAGGGUGACGCCUGCGAUUCCCAUCCAAUGCCUGCGGUGGUGGGCGAGGCGCACUCGGCGCCUAAUGCGGAGGUCAAUGAAGUGAUCCUGCGAAGUGCGGCGGUUGAAGCGGGUGUUCAGCGGCCGCCGCAGCACCGCGCACCACCAGGAGGCAUCAUCCCGGUCGAGACAGGCAAGAGCGACACUCGACGAGGUGCUGUCGCGAAGCCGACAGCGGCAAAGUCUGCUGCGCGUAGUACGUCUCUCCUUGACGUUUCGGUGGACGCGUCGCAAAUUGAGAGAGAAGACGCGCUGCACUCACUGACCCACCAGCGCUACGUUUCUUCUUGCUCCGCCUCCUCUUCACUUUCCGCAGGCGACGUGGAUGCCACGUUCCUGGUCAAAAGGCCUUGCUCAUCCCUUGCAGAGAGCGACGCAGUAUCAGUAGCCGAGGAGGGUGCUUUGCCGACGCACAGCGGCUCAGACCACGAAGAAAGUCCGGUCGUGGCAGCGCCGCUUUCACCAGUGGAUUCGUACGUGAGCGACACACCUGCGGCAGAUCUCGACGAUUCAAAGGCGAAUUCUGCCAACGUGUCCAAGAGCGACACCCGGGAAGCAGCGCGGUACACACCCGCCCAAGCCAACGACUCGGAGAGUGAGCGUGACAAUCAAGUGAUCGUCCGCUCCGCCCUCGACUAGCUCCUUUGUGUUGAGGUGUGUGAGGGUGGGGAGGUGGAGGUGAACCAGAGAGACCCACAGUAUGGGCAUUGUGCUCUUCUGCCCGAGGCUUUCCUGUGUUGGUGGUCUUCACCGCGAGUGCCGAGACGGCGCGCACUACCCUUAUGUAUAUCGAACUGCUACAUUCUCCGUGAGCAGAAAUUCGUUUCCUUUUUCGGCCAGAGAGGUGGUGAGACGCGCACGCAUCUCUUGCAGUGUGGCAUGCCUCCUUUUCGCAUUUUCUCGGCUUUUUUCCGCUGUUGUCCCUCUCCCUCUUUUUGCCCAUUUUGCACGAGCCCUCGGACACACUAUUUUUUUUUUCCAGCUUCCUACCUUUAGAGACCGACGAGCGGCGCAGAUGUGCAUCACCUCGGCUUAGCUAGAAAAAGCAUCGGACCCCGCUCCUAUCCCUCUCCCUCGUCCUGCGCUGCACUUUAUCCUACUCUUGUCCUUGUCAUGCUCCCAGAUUCUCCAGCGUAUGAGG